rnacentral:rRNA from 1 species
UACGUAGGGGGGCAAGCGUUGUCCGGAAUUAUUGGGCGUAAAGAGCGCGUAGGCGGUCCGGUAAGUCGGUUGUGAAAGUCGGGGGGCUCAACCCUCGGAUGCCGAUCGAUACUGUCGGGCUAGAGUCCGGAAGAGGCGAGCGGAAUUCCUGGUGUAGCGGUGAAAUGCGCAGAUAUCAGGAGGAACACCGGUGGUGUAAACGGCUUUCUGGACCAUAACUGACGCUGAGGCACGAAAGCGUGGGUAGCAAACAGG